rnacentral:lncRNA from 1 species
UGAGGCAUCUGAACACCCUGAGCGUCCUCCGAGGAGAAAGUGAUGGUUGCUGAAGAGUGUUCGACGAUCUGCAUGACCUCAGCACUGCUGUUUUCUCCCUCUCGGCUUCUCUUUUUCCCCCUUCGGCUCAUCCGACCUCCUGUGCCUCCUACGAUCAUAUUGAUGGUUCCACUAGACCCGUCAUUCACAGUGUUAGCUCCUGUUCUUCUCGGCGUUUGGACUGCCGGAUUGGGUUGAGGUCUCUGUCCUUCCGGUUUCUUUACAAAGUUCUUCAGGUGCCCUCUCUUUAUCAACCUCUCGAUUUCUGCAAUCAACUGGAAACAGUUAUUGGUGUCGUGACCAUGAGUACGAUGGAACUGACAG